UGUGUGUAAUUUAAAAAAAAUACCAAGCUGUGACCUUGACAACAGGAUA
rnacentral:tRNA from 4 species